UAGACGUUAAGCGGAGCCGUAUUAGGUGAAGUCAAUGAUCCCAUGCUGCCGAGAAAAGCCUCUAGCGAGCUUCGAGCGGCCCGUACCCCAAACCGACACAGGUGGUCAGGUAGAGAAUACCGAGGCGAUCGGGCGAACUAUGGUUAAGGAACUCGGCAAAUUACCCCCGUAACUUCGGGAGAAGGGGGGCCACAGACUGUCAAACUCCAUGCGGGUGGCAGCGGUAGGUGGCCGCAGAGACCAGGGGGAAGCGACUGUUUACUAAAAACACAGGUCCGUGCGAAGUCGUAAGACGAUGUAUACGGACUGACGCCUGCCCGGUGCUGGAACGUUAAGGGGACCGGUUAGUCCGCAAGGGCGAGGCUGAGAACUUAAGCGCCAGUAAACGGCGGUGGUAACUAUAACCAUCCUAAGGUAGCGAAAUUCCUUGUCGGGUAAGUUCCGACCUGCACGAAUGGCGUAACGACUUCCCUACUGUCUCAACCAUAGGCCCGGCGAAAUUGCACUACGAGUAAAGAUGCUCGUUACGCGCGGAAGGACGGAAAGACCCCGGGACCUUCACUAUAGCUUGACAUUGGUACUCGAAUUGAAUUGUGUAGGAUAGGUGGGAGACUUUGAAGCUCGGACGCCAGUUCGGGUGGAGUCAAACUUGAAAUACCACUCUGUUGAAUUUGGGUAUCUAACUUCGGACCGUGAUCCGGUUCAGGGACAGUGUCUGGUGGGUAGUUUAACUGGGGCGGUUGCCUCCUAAAAUGUAACGGAGGCGCCCAAAGGUUCCCUCAGCCUGGUUGGCAAUCAGGUGUUGAGUGCAAGUGCACAAGGGAGCUUGACUGUGAGACUGACAGGUCGAGCAGGGACGAAAGUCGGGACUAGUGAUCCGGCACCUGCGAGUGGAAGCGGUGUCGCUCAACGGAUAAAAGGUACCCCGGGGAUAACAGGCUGAUCUUCCCCAAGAGUCCAUAUCGACGGGAUGGUUUGGCACCUCGAUGUCGGCUCGUCGCAUCCUGGGGCUGGAGUAGGUCCCAAGGGUUGGGCUGUUCGCCCAUUAAAGCGGCACGCGAGCUGGGUUUAGAACGUCGUGAGACAGUUCGGUCCCUAUCCUCCGCGCGCGCAGGAGACUUGAGAAGGGCUGUCCCUAGUACGAGAGGACCGGGACGGACGAACCUCUGGUGUGCCAGUUGUCAUGCCAAUGGCACGGCUGGUUAGCUACGUUCGGAAGGGAUAACCGCUGAAAGCAUCUAAGCGGGAAGCCUGCUUCAAGAUGAGGUCUCCCACCCCUUGAGGGUUAAGGCCCCCAGCUAGACCACUGGGUUGAUAGGCCAGAAGUGUAAGCCUGGUAACAGGUUCAGCCGACUGGUACUAAUAGGCCGAGGACUU
rnacentral:rRNA from 1 species